UGAGAGAAUUGGCUGACUGCAACUAUGUUGCCCAGGGAGGCCCGGGUGGUUUUAUUGUUUUUACCAUCCUUAUGGUAAGGCAGGAAUGAAGGGGUAGGAGGAAAUGGCCAUAUAAGGAGGUACGAGCAGGCCAGGAACACAGCCGAUGGGUUAUCACAUGAUUUCCCUGAAAUCAUGUGUUUUGAGAGAAACGAAAGUAAUGAAAUGUAAUACUGCACCACAAAUAUGCACCAAUGGUUUGAUAUGUGGGCGGUCCUAAACCGAACCCAUUGAAUUGUAUAAAUAGACACUUGACCCUGUCUGCGGGGUUCUCCCUUUUCAGCAUCUAGUUGUGCGUGGGAUGAACCUCUGCAGCUGCAUGAAUUUUAGUAAACUGCUUUCCUUGGAAAAAAACUCCAGUUGUUUGUCUCCUACUUCCACUGCGUCCGCUCAGACACACGACAAGCCGAGAAGAGGGGAAGUCUGGCUUCCGCUACAUUUUCUGGUGACCCCGACGUGAUUCCACAAUAAGACGGGCCAGGAGAUCGGAGACGGAUCCCGUUGGCGGGACGGUCCCAACUCGGCGGUGGGGGCCAGAGGCAACUACCGUGAGACGAGAAGGGGCCCCUGAAUAUUGUAAGACCGGCUGCGGUACUUGCCUCUGAUGCCAACGCCGGCCGACGGUGGGAGCCGCAACGACAGCGAGGUUCCAAAGAAACCAGCCAGGAGGAAAAGGAUCCAGGGAAAAGUCCAGGGGCGAAGGUUGGUCCGACGUCUACAGCAAUCUGGCAAGUAUAGUGGUUAAAUGAGACACUAAGGGAACACCGGCGCCGAGAGGGACACACAAAGGUUCCCAGGGAGGUAUAAAGGGGUUCUGUCUUGUGAUUCCUGACACACACCGUUGAGUGUCCAGGUGCCCAGUCCAAGGCAGUCCCCUCUAUUAGGCAGGAUGGGAGGCAGUGGGUUCAAAUCCACCACCCCAUUACAGUGUAUGUUAGACAAUUUCGGCUCAGUUGCAAGUAGAGCCGUAGAAGGAAUUCCCCAGAGAACAAGACUUGUGAGGGUGCCCCAAGACCAAGUCGUGCAGGGCUCAUGAGGAGUCGCAACUCCCGGGGAAAGGAAAAAAAAAAAAACCUGUUUGAUUUCUUUGUCAUGUGUGGGGAAUAAUGAGUUUCAAGUUCUGCAUGUUUCGUGGUAAUAUUGAAGUGAAAAUGAAAAAUGAGUCUAUAGAUUUACACAAAAAAUGUUGAGCACAAAUAUCUAGAAAUGUUUUAUUACGGUUGAAAAAAUCUGAUUCGAAGAGGGUCUGUCUGUGUUAGUUUGCUUUUGCUGACAAGCUGCAGAGAGGCGAGAAAAAGGGAGGGAGGCUGUUAAAGUGGUGUUGAGGCUCAGAAACUGUCUUUCAAAUGAGUUUUUCUUGUUAUUUCUGAGGAACAAAGGCUGUUUUCUUAAAAAGUUUUCCUUUGCACCUGGGCCUCAUGCCAAAAAGAUAGUGGGAAAAUCUUGGCAGACAGUCCAAGGUAAAAACGAUAAGUUUGUUAGAAUGUUUCUUCCCUGUCAUUCUUGUUAAACUCAGGCGAAAUGCCCAGAGAAAGAUAAUGGAAUUCCAGUGGACAGCCAAGGUCAAUGAAAGCCGCUGUGAACUAGUGAAGUUUUAAAAAUGUAAUGUGAAUUUAAUAUGAAAAAAAAGAAAGAAAAUGAUGAUGUAAAUGUGUGUGUGUGUAUAUAUAUAUAUAUAUAUAUAUAUAUAUAUAUAUAUAUAUAUAUUGGGGUUCUGUCUUUCACCUGGAUCUUAAAUCCUUGCUUUGGACUUGUUUUGGGACAACUGGGUGAGAAUGUUUCAUGAGCUGAGAGAGAGUGUGUGACUUUAUCUAAACAACUAACCACUAAUCAGAAUUCCUGUGGACCUUGUGUGAAUGAGAUGUAUGUGUUGAAUUCAAAAUGCAUAAAGAGUUAUAAACAAUGUUAGUAGAUUUGUUCAGAAGCAAUUCGGAAGCUGUAGAUAUUUUUUUUUGGGAAAAAAAUGGUCUUAGGCUUGAAAAAAAAUCCUUGUUUUGAAAGAACAAUGCUUCAGUGUUUUUAGAGAACAUGGUGAUACAACAGAUAAGAGCUGGACAUCUGCCCAGAAAUUGAAUCUCAAGGAAAAAAAAAAUGAGCCUGAACAAGUGUACUUUUGAAAACUCAAGCCUCUGUGGGCUACUCCCCCUUUUUUCUGUUCUACAGACUGUUUAAACCCCUUACAGGUUAUAGGGAAAUGUUGGAGGUUCUUUUUUGCAGCACUUUGGAAUACAGGUGAUCUUGGUGAGUCAAGAAGAAGGAGAAGGAAUGUGAAUGAAUGUUUUGGAAAGGAGAUGGAUGCUGAAGGGAGAGGACAAGGAGAGGAGUUAUUGGUUGUAAAGACUUUGUAUGGAAAACUGUCACAAGUUGGCAGUGCAAAAAAAAAUAAAAUAUUUAUUUUUGAAAAAAAUUGACCCCAUAUUCCUGACACAGAAGGAUUAAGAACUGACAUUGAUUUUUAAAUUUUUGAUUGACAUUUUAUUCAAAAAGGGAGCUAGUGCCCAAGUGAUAAAAAGUUAUCCUUUUGAGAACCAAAGACAUGGUAUAAUUGGCUACGUCUCAUGUUGCUUCAUAAUAAUUUUGUGAGAUUUGGAUUCUGGACUUUGUGAUUUUGACCCAACUCUCCUGGAUAGGACCUUUUGUAAUGGGACAUUGCAAAUAAUUCGGAUUUUUGCCGGAUUUGAGAGACAAUGAGGGACUUUUUCAUAUGCCAUCUAACAACCUUGCUUUUUAAGCCAAAAGGAGGAUAUAGCACGGAGGCAAUGUGACAAAGAAUAAAAUAAGUUAACCAUUGCAGCAGGACCAGAGUAAAAAGGAUUACUGCAGAUCGCGAAAGAAGGCCCAUGGAGGAAUCAUUUCUCAAGAGGCCAUGGAGGGGUCAUUUGGGAGCUGAAUAGUGGCCUACCUGCCCCACCCGUGGAGAGACAAGGGAUUUCAACAAGAUUGGCUGAGACAAAAGUGAUGCCGAACAGGAUGAUCGACAGAUGGGUAAUCCGUUCCCCCUCCCCCAUUCUCUCUCACUGUCUUCCUGCUUUCUUUUUCAGCUUUUUGGACUCCUGUUCCUAAAUUGGAGAUCCAUAAGGCAUUGUUACUGAGAGGCCUGUUUUCCAAAAUGGAGAUCCAUAAGGCAUUAUUACUGGAAGGCCUGUUUUGGAAUCCAAAACCCGCAGGAGUUUAAGUCUACCCCACGCCACACGCUAGGUAUACUGGGUAUGACAGCUAAAGCCCUGUGAGAGAUGGAGAUUUUCUUUACAGACUUUUCUUUACACAGAGACAAUUCUUAGAGACUAGAGACUUGAUUGGACAAAGAGACUUUCUUCAAAUUAACUGAACAUUAUUCCUUUGAUCAAGGAAGAGGAAACACACCCCCAGUUUGACUUUAUGCCAAAGACUGAAAAGACCUGAAAGUUGGACAUGUAUGUGAAUGGCCACCUCUGGCCAUAGCAACAAAUCCAUCAUCGGAAGAAGCCAAAUGACUGGGCUAGAUCAGAAUUCUACUGUGGACUAUGUCCUUUCUAAAACCUGAUUAAUAUUUUUAAUCCUCAUGUGUUGUUUACCUCUGGUGAUGAAACUAUGUACAAAUGCUAUUCUGCGCUCAUUUUCCACUGAAAAGAUAGCUUGGCUGCAAGCGAGAAGGGAUUGGAGGGACCCAUAAGUCUGCUCAUUUGGUUUGCUUCAGCUUUUGUAUACACGCUUCGCAAAAAAAAAAAAAAAAUGGGGGAAUAAGGCAGGAAUGAAGGGGUAGGAGGAAAUGGCCAUAUAAGGAGGUACGAGCAGGCCAGGAACACAGCCGAUGGGUUAUCACAUGAUUUCCCUGAAAUCAUGUGUUUUGAGAGAAACGAAAGUAAUGAAAUGUAAUACUGCACCACAAAUAUGCACCAAUGGUUUGAUAUGUGGGCGGUCCUAAACCGAACCCAUUGAAUUGUACAAAUAGACACUUGACCCUGUCUGCGGGGUUCUCCCUUUUCAGCAUCUAGUUGUGCGUGGGAUGAACCUCUGCAGCUGCAUGAAUUUUAGUAAACUGCUUUCCUUGGAAAAAAACUCCAGUUGUCUGUCUCCUACUUCCACUGCGUCCGCUCAGACACACGACAAGCCGAGAAGAGGGGAAGUCUGGCUUCCGCUACAAUGGGAGGUUUCUCAUGUCACCGCAUGGAGCUGGAGUUGACAGAGGGAGCUCAUCCACACUCUGCCCAGGUUGGAUUCCAGCAAUCUUCAGAGAAACGCUGCUGUGUCUGACUUCUUCAAAUGGAUAACUAACUGUGAUUCAUGGCUGCCAACUGGAAAAAACAAAUCGAGAUAUUCCAGGUCACGUGGUCUGCAGCCCCUCCCACUGCCUCAAGAACAUAGAGUUAGGAAACAACUGCAUUCCAAUGUGUUAUCUACACUUCAGUAGCAAAAGAACAUAUUAUAUAUACAGGCAAAUCCUCAAUCAGAGGAGGCUUGAGAAGGCUGCCUAUUUCCAACAGGAAGAUCUACCUGUGCAUAUUUCUCAUGGCUUCACCAGUGUUUUUGCCCCCCUCCCAUGCACUUUGACUUACCACCAGAUCUCUCUCCAAGGCACCGCUGCAGGAAAAUGCAAAGAAGGAAGUGGAAAGGGGAGGAGAGAAGGAACCCUGGCCGGAAGUAACUCUGAAUCACAUAUGGUCCUUUCCCUGAAGGAAGGCCAACCUCAGUCAUAUUAACCCUUUCAGGAAGACAGGCAGCUGAAUUACUUAGUGCAGUGUGUUGUUGUCGACCGCACUUUGGGGGAUCGGGCCCUUAAAGAGAGACCUGACCCGGUCCUGAGGGAACGGACCUUGGCGAAGCCAAAAGGAGAAUAUAAGCCGCAAUACAACCUGAAGCCUGAAAUGAAGAAGGUCCGCCAAGUUGAAGGAAAAUCCGCCAAGGAGUUUUUAUUGAGCAAUUCAGCUGAAAAGGACGCUAAUAGCGAUCAUUCAAUCUACUAGCGUAACAUAUGUUUCAAAUAAAGUCAUAUUUAUACAAUGUUUUGGUCUGACAGCCCCUUGAAUUUCCCGCCCCGCUUCCCUGCCCAUCUGAUCGCGGAUAGGCUGAGAGGUUGAACGAGGCGGGCUUUCGUUUCCCGCCUUGCUCUGCUGGCCCAAUGGGGAGCCGUUUUUUGUCCCCCCUCGGGCCAAUCAGAGAGGAGGAGGCGGGAGCUGUUGAAACAAUGAGGUGACCGGACAGGAAAUAUCAGAUUAAUUCUGGCCCAGCCGAUUUCUAAAGGAAUUAAUGGCACCCAUCAAGGGUGUCCGGGGUCCUGUCACGUUCACAGAUUUUAGAUAUGCCUUGGGGUGUCAGACGGGAAGUGGUGAUGGGUGGUGAUGAGCCGUCAUUGACGGGCCCCACAGGGUGCCUUCCAGCGGCGUCCUGGCCUGGGAUAUGACAAUGUUUGCCUUGGGGGCGAGUCACCUUUAGGAAUUUGGUGACUCUAAACCCUAUAUUGUCCAUGCGAUCGGAAUGAGAUUGGAUUAAACGGUGGCAGAUUAUCCUUUUGUUUUUUUUUUGGGAAGGGAGGUCUGGGUCAUGGGGCCGAGGUUCACGUUGGGGUCAUAAUAUUUCCCAUUUGAUUUGAUGAUUUGACAAAUAUAUGGGAUAAAGUGAAAAUUAAAAUAAAGUUGGAACAUAAACCCAGCUGGGAAAAACACAUAUUUUCCGGGGAUCCCAAAGAGUAUAAAUACAUAUAGGCAGAUAGGUAGAUUUCGAGGAAAUAAGGGAGAAUCCAUAAAGGUGGGUUACAUUGCAUAAAGGGGAAUCAUGAAUGAUAUAAACAAUUGAAAAUAUCUGAUAAGAACGAAGUUCAUAACAUCUGGGGAACCCAAUAUGGAAAUUCAUAGAAGUGGAGUUUUUGCAGCAUGAUUUUACAAUUCAUGAAGUUGUUAUCUCUUGCCUCAGAAUGCAGGGAUAAUCCACAGUAAACUCCAGUAAAAAGUCUCAAUCACCUUCUACUAUAAAUAUAUGGAAUAUAGAACAUAAAGUCUUGAUUUUUGAACUAUCUUUUACAAAGUCCUGGAGGGGAGGUCACCUCGAUCACAUUUUCCCCCCUUCGGGGCUUGGAAAUGGCUAUGAACAUUUCCCAAAGCCCCGACAUUUUACUGCAUGCAGGGCCUCUGCCUUGGUAGAUCAGAUUGUGCCUUUUUGUUGGAGGGCAGGAGCUUGAAGAGGUGAAAGCUGAGGUUCAGUCAGUGGUGGGUGAUCCCAUGGUGUUGAAACAGAUGUCCCUUGGUCUGGAGUCAUGGGAAAUGGAGCAUGAAGGUGGAGGUGGUGAGGGCUGGGGAUGAUGGAGGCUGUGAUGCAGUACUCCCAUUUGGCUGCCUUUUCUUGGCUGCAGCUUGGGCCCCCCUUUGUAGUUGGCAGCUGGGGUCAACUGGGCACAGCUUCUGCGCCUCACAGCACGGCGCCUCCUGGUGACUGCAGGCAGGUCCAGCACUCCAACAGAGGAGACGGAAAGGAGAGAGUGCCUAGGGAAACUAAGGACAGAUUAUAAGCCCCCCCUCCCUCCCGUGGUGGGGUUAGUCAGGGAAGUCACUCAUACCUUGUGAGGGCUCCAGCAGUCCUGGGGUCCUUCUUUGGCACAGCUCUGGUGAAAGUGGAACAUCCUUCCCUCAUGGUGGUCACUGGUAGAAUCCUGUUCAUUUCUUCUGGGACAUCUUCUGCCAUGGCGGCCAAUUCUGUCCCCUGGUGAUGUCAUGAGGGCCUCCUUGGCAGCGUCAAAGGCAGACCUGCACUCAGUAGCCCUUUGCCAGGGCAGAUGGUGUUGCUUCCCCCGUGGGGGUCUCAGAUCAGCCACAGGUGGGGCUGUCUCUUCUGGGUGACUGGGGGUCCGGGCUUACCCUCACAGGACCAUCUCCAAUGGCCUCUGGGUUCUAGCUGCUGCAUGAAAUCAACAGCGCACUCCGAGAGCCCCUACCCAGGUCUUAGAACUGUUCAUGGUGGCAGGUAUGGAUUAUGGGUCUUGCAGUCUGGUCUGAUGUCCUCAGUCAGGUGGUUGGGUCCGGUCCUCUGGAUCUCUUCAGCUGUGCCUGGAAGGUCCCCUGGACUCUGUACUGCCCCCCCUCAUAAUUAAAGGCAGUUAGAGGGAUUUUUAAAACAUUCACACGCAUGCACUCAGGGAAAGGGAGGGAGAAGGACCCGAAAGGAAGAAAGGAGAUUGUUGGGGAACUGUGGAGAGUGAAAGAGUGCCUUUACUAUAAAAGUAAACCAGGAUUUUGACUGAAUGUUUAUAAGGAGAAAUGGGGAUGCUGGGAAGGAAGGGGGGGGGGAGCUUUGAAAAAGGAGAAUGUUGAAGUGCAUUUUGGCCUAGGAAAACAUGAAGUGGAAGAGAGAGAGAGAGAGAAAAAAACUCACAUAUAGAAAAAUACAUCAAUUCUUCCAUCCCCCCCCUUUUCUCUCUAAGAUAAGGGAGGCUUGAGGAGAGAGAGAGAAGAAAAAGUUAAAACCACAGAAGCAGCAGGUUUUCUCUGGGGGGGGGGGGUCUCACAAAAUAUUAGGGCUUGAACCUUUGAAAAUAGGGAGGUGAGAUGGCACAGAAGAAAAGGGAGAGAGAGAGAGCAUAGCACUAAGCUAGUCCAUUCCAGCCCUCCUUCCCAGAAAACUAUAUAUCACUGGUGGCUUUUAAGGCAAAGGGAUGAGUAGAGAAGAGUUUACAGCCCACACAUUACAUAAACACACAAAAUUUAACCAACACUUUUCUGGGAG